AUGAUUCUGAAUCAUGCCUUCUAAAACUCCGUGAAACAUAUCGUAUUUGCCUAUGUGCACCACUGCCCGACCUAGUCUUAACCAUAAAUUCCUCUCUGAAAUUCACUGAUAAAUUCCUUCUCAACCAGUUCUGACCAAUGCUAAAUGGAGGUUGUCGCCAAUACAUGAUGAAAUCUGCAUAAAACCGCCAAAAAUCAACCCAGCUAUUUGCUUUGAUGGACUUAAAUUCCAACAAAAACAUAUGUCUACUCCAAAUGAUGGGCUGAGACAUUAUGACCCAUUUUCCUCUAGUUUUUCUACCAGCAUCACUUUGUUGGUUUCGGAAAGCCAAGAGAAACAUCAAAAACACAAUCCGACUAUAGAUAAAAUGAGACAUAUAUAAUUCCAUCCCACAAAUGAUGAAAACGUAAUCGUUUAUUCUUGGAUCCCAGAUCCAAACUUGUUCUCCAUUUCUCAAAUCAGAGAGAUUCCAAUUAGAGUCAUAGAGGAAACGACACGUUCCAAUAAUGAAACGACAGACACCGCUCUAAGACGGAAUGAAACCGACAAAAAUAGGCAUGGGUAGUGGCCAAGGUAUGGUCGGAAGUAUACUCUCCACGAAUGAGAGAAGAAGGACACUAGGUUGAGAAGAAAUCUUCAAACCCAUCAAUUGAUAACGAUACAUCUCGUCACGACAAACGGAGAUAACAGUGGUCGUUCUCGGUUCCAUAUAUCUCAUAUACCAGUUAGAUCGAUGAAAUCUGGGUAUUAUGAUCAAGAUCGGAGAUGGGAUUGAAGUUGUGGAAUUCCACAAGCGUUGGUUUGGGAUUCACGAAAUCUCCUUAUUAUUUGCCUGAAACUAUGAAACAAGAAAGAUCUUAGGGAAAGGAAAGGCUUACCGACAGACGCCAGAAAAGCCAACGUCGGCCAGAAACGAGAAAACGGAGAAAGUUAACUGUCUUUGAAAAUCGCCUUUGAGAGAGACAUAACGGUUUUAGUGAGGUCUUUAUAAUGUAAAGAAAUCUUAUAAUGUACUAUAAAUUCAUAAGAAUAAAAUCAAGCUUAAACAAAAUACUAUAGUUUUAGUUUUUAAGAAAAUUAAAAUAAAACCAAAUAAAUAAACGAU
rnacentral:lncRNA from 1 species